rnacentral:rRNA from 1 species
UACGUAGGGUGCGAGCGUUGUCCGGAAUUAUUGGGCGUAAAGGGCUCGUAGGCGGUUUGUCGCGUCGGGAGUGAAAUCCACUGGCUUAACUGGUGGCUUGCUUUCGAUACGGUCAGACUGGAGGUAUGCAGGGGAGAACGGAGUUCCUGGUGUAGCGGUGAAAUGCGCAGAUAUCAGGAGGAACACCGGUGGCGAAGGCGGUUCUCUGGGCAUGUCCUGACGCUGAGGAGCGAAAGUGUGGGGAGCGAACAGG